rnacentral:rRNA from 1 species
AGAGUUUGAUCCUGGCUCAGGAUGAACGCUAGCUACAGGCUUAACACAUGCAAGUCGAGGGGAAACGACAUCGAAAGCUUGCUUUUGAUGGGCGUCGACCGGCGCACGGGUGAGUAACGCGUAUCCAACCUGCCCAUCACUUGGGGAUAACCUUGCGAAAGUAAGACUAAUACCCACUGACGUCUCUAGAAGACAUCUGAAAGAGAUUAAAGAUUUAUCGGUGAUGAAUGGGGAUGCGUCUGAUUAGCUUGUUGGCGGGGUAACGGCCCACCAAGGCUACGAUCAGUAGGGGUUCUGAGAGGAAGGUCCCCCACAUUGGAACUGAGACACGGUCCAAACUCCUACGGGAGGCA